rnacentral:rRNA from 1 species
UGGGGUCAAUAGAGACUCAUAGGUGGUUAUAAAGACUCGCUGGUGUUUGUCUCCCUUGAGGCAUACGGCUUUAACCCAAACUCUCAAAAGUUGGACCUCAAAUCCAGGUAGGAGUACCCGCUGAACUUAAGCAUAUCAAUAAGCGGAGGAAAAGAAACCAACCGGGAUUGCCUUAGUAACGGCGAGUGAAGCGGCAAAAGCUCAAAUUUGAAAUCUGGCGUCUUCGACGUCCGAGUUGUAAUUUGAAGAAGGCGACUUUGUAGCUGGUCCUUGUCUAUGUUCCUUGGAACAGGACGUCAUAGAGGGUGAGAAUCCCGUGUGGCGAGGAUCCCAGUUAUUUGUAAAGUGCUUUCGACGAGUCGAGUUGUUUGGGAAUGCAGCUCUAAGUGGGUGGUAAAUUCCAUCUAAAGCUAAAUAUUGGCGAGAGACCGAUAGCGAACAAGUACAGUGAUGGAAAGAUGAAAAGAACUUUGAAAAGAGAGUGAAAAAGUACGUGAAAUUGUUGAAAGGGAAGGGCAUUUGAUCAGACAUGGCGUUUGCUUCGGCUUUCGCUGGGCCAGCAUCAGUUUUAGCGGUUGGAUAAAUCCUCGGGAAUGUGGCUCUGCUUCGGUAGAGUGUUAUAGCCCGUGGGAAUACAGCCAGCUGGGACUGAGGAUUGCGACUUUUGUCAAGGAUGCUGGCGUAAUGGUUAAAUGCCGCCCGUCUUGAAACACGGACCAAGGGAGUCUAACGUCUAUGCGAGUGUUUGGGUGUAAAACCCGUACGCGUAAUGAAAGUGAAC